CUGGCCGUAGCUCAGCUGGAUAGAGCAUCGGAUUUCUAAUCCGAUGGUCGCGUGUUCGAAUCGCGCCGGCCAGGCCA
rnacentral:tRNA from 6 species